GACACCUAAAGUCUCCUAAAAAGACCCUAAUUUAUAGAUUUAGUAAAAAGAAAAACUAAACAAGAUAACUUUUACUGCAAAUAAAUGAGAGGUUUAACUGCAUUGUUCAAAGAGACAGCAAGGGCCUAACUGAACCAGUUCUUUUCAGCUUUGGGCUAAACCAUUUUUCCUUUUCUUCUUCUUCUUGUUUAUUUCCUUGUUUUCCUUCUUCCCUUCCUUUUUUUCUUUAGUUUUUUUCUUCUUUCAUUCCUUCCUUUCUUUCCUUUCUUUCUUUUCUUUCUUUUUAUUCUUUUUUCUUCAUUUCUCUCCAUUUCCUCUUCCUUCCUUUAUUUCCUUUCCUUGUUUUCUUUCUUUCUUUCUUUCCUUCCCUUGUUCUUUCCUUCCUUUCUUUUCUUUCGUUCUUUACUUCCUUUCUUCCUUUUCUUUCCUUCUUUACUUCCUUUCUUCCUUUACUUUCCUUCAUUCCUUUGUCUUCUACUUUCCCAAAUGGGGUUUAAAGGUUUAAUUGACUAUUUAAAAAGUACAUUACAGUACUUUUAAACAUCCAUAAACCUCAAAAUAGUCCUGAAAAAUAAACAUUAAAAAAAAAUUAAAAAAAUCCAAAAAAUGCUAUACCGCUACCAAACCUAUAUGCAUUUGCAUAUCAAGUGUCAGUACAAUAUUAUACGUUAUCAUACUAUAUAGGUUAACUACUAGCAUGAUACCUGGUAGCAACGUCAUGGACCCUGCC
rnacentral:lncRNA from 1 species